GAAUAUUGGACAAUGGGCGAGAGCCUGAUCCAGCCAUGCCGCGUGCAGGAAGACUGCCCUAUGGGUUGUAAACUGCUUUUAUACAGGAAGAAACACUCCCUCGUGAGGGAGCUUGACGGUACUGUAAGAAUAA
rnacentral:rRNA from 1 species